rnacentral:lncRNA from 1 species
UCAAAAGCAUUAGUAUUCCCGUGAAAAGGGCCAGUCACACAGGGGAUGACUGCAAGUCCUUCGUAACCACUCCAGGACGCUGCCAGGGCCUGAGAAGGGACAAACUCCAAUUGCUCCAGUUCAAACUGGUCCUGGCCUGGUCAAACGGAGGAGACAGAGCAGUGAUUCACAGCAGGACGUGGUACUUGCAGACUGACCGUCCUCUCAGGACUCACUAGGGUCUCUUCUCUGACGAGAUGAUACCUGGAAUUGGGACACUCACCCAGGACACACUAUGGUGCUUCAGCCAAGUGAAAGGCACUAUCGAGAUUGGAACCACAGAAGGUA